rfam:Aureobasidium subglaciale EXF-2481 unplaced genomic scaffold scaffold_27, whole genome shotgun sequence.
GGCGCUCUGGCCGAGUGGUUAAGGCGUUUGACUCGAAUAUUAUCCGAUAUCAAAUCCAUUCGUGGGCGCAGGUUCGAGUCCUGCGGGCGUCG